rnacentral:rRNA from 1 species
AGACCCGAAACCCGGUGAUCUAGCCAUGGGCAGGUUGAAGGUUGGGUAACACUAACUGGAGGACCGAACCGACUAAUGUUGAAAAAUUAGCGGAUGACCUGUGGCUGGGGGUGAAAGGCCAAUCAAACCGGGAGAUAGCUGGUUCUCCCCGAAAGCUAUUUAGGUAGCGCCUCGUGAAUUCAUCUCCGGGGGUAGAGCACUGUUUCGGCUAGGGGGCCAUCCCGGCUUACCAACCCGAUGCAAACUGCGAAUACCGGAGAAUGUUAUCACGGGAGACACACGGCGGGUGCUAACGUCCGUCGUGAAGAGGGAAACAACCCAGACCGCCAGCUAAGGUCCCAAAGUCAUGGUUAAGUGGGAAACGAUGUGGGAAGGCCCAGACAGCCAGGAUGUUGGCUUAGAAGCAGCCAUCAUUUAAAGAAAGCGUAAUAGCUCACUGGUCGAGUCGGCCUGCGCGGAAGAUGUAACGGGGCUAAACCAUGCACCGAAGCUGCGGCAGCGAACGUAUCACCCAAGACAACUUUACGGAGUUGACGAUUGACGGAGCGAAGCGACGUCAAAGCGUUCAUUAAAGUCGAGUUGGCUUAGGGAUACGUUCGUUGGGUAGGGGAGCGUUCUGUAAGCCUGUGAAGGUGGCCUGUG